rnacentral:lncRNA from 1 species
AUCAUCUCUUCUUACUUCUUAAGCACAAUGUGAAGUACAUUAUCUAUAAUUUCUCAGACUUUAUUUUAUCUUGAAGCUAAAAUCUCUCGUAUUCGUUCUUGUAGUGACAAAAUGAUUAAAAAAAGAAAAAGAGCCGUCUAUUUAAUUUUUUCUAUAAAUUCUUGUAGUUCUACAGGAGGUUUUGCUUAAAGUUCUUGGAUACCUGUUAUUUAGCAAUGGCCUGGUUCUUAAGAAACAAUACUAAUGUUUCUUUCACUCCAAUAUGUAAAGGCGGGAUAAUUUAAUUAGUAUUUCUACGUUGUAGGGGCAAGGAUGUGAGCCAGGAGAAUUUGAACCAAGGUUAUACCUAUAUCUUCGAGUCGACCUUUGACAGCACAGAAGAUAUUGCAGAAUAUGUAGCUCAUCCUGCUCAUGUCGAAUAUGCAAAUAAAUUACUCCCUAAAUUGGAGAAAGUGAUCAUCGUCGAUUACAAACCUGUUGCUGUUCAUCCCUGAGCUGAAUGCAGAACAGAAAUCAAUUAUCUUUCCACUCCUGUUCUUGUAUUUUCAUUUAUGUGUGAACCAGACUGUUUGCCUCAGCAACUUAAUAAGCUGCAGCUGGAUUAAAUAAUGCACUUUGUGGCUCAUUUGCUUUACCCCAUCUACUAUGCAGAUUAUGUUUUUAUUUUACUCAUGAAUCUUGAUCUCUUAAAAUUUCUUACAAAGUAUAUAUAUUUCUAGUUAUUUGAAUGGUCUUAAAAACAAUUAUGCUAAGCUGGCCGGAUAAGAAUUAACAGUUGUUGCUAGGUCAGGUGACCAGUGACAUAUAUAUAUUACUUUUCUGUUAUUAAAAGGUGCGAGUUACCGAUAACUUCCAGAGUGAGUCCUGAUCAGAUAGUAUCACUCUCACUUUGCUCGAAUCGAGUCAAAUUUGAUGAACAUCAACUUACUGCCAUACUUGGACAUUCGAAUGUGAACAAAGCCUUAAAAAAUCAUUUAACAUGAAAACAGAAAUCAAAAAAUCUCUGAUUAAUCUUUCAAAUAUUAUUUUAACGAUUUAUAGAUUACACUCCGAUUUGACAAAAAAUUCCCGAUUUAUCAAAAAAAAAACUCUGAUAAAUCUUAAAUCCUAAAUUAUCAAAUUAACCAAUUAAUUCCGAUUUCUACGAUCAUAGAAAAACCCUGUUUUACUUGAUGAUCGAAGACUGCUUCACAUAAAUUAAGGAUAAAAAGAGAGGGAAUAAAAAAAGUUAAAACCAAUUUCCGAUACAACUUUCUAAAACCAGGAACACGCAGAUAUUAUUAUUUCUCUCAAGUUUAUUAGCAGCAGGGUCAUACAAAAUGGUGUUAUUUCAUGGAUGGAACACCCAUUUUCCUAAAAUAUAUGGGUUCACCCAUAUAUUUGAGUCGACCUUCGACAGCACAGAAGGCAUUGCAGCAUAUGUUGCUCAUUCUGACCACGUUGCGCACUACAAGAAUUUCCAGUACUACCGACAUAAAUUACCAACAAAAACUAAUCCGUUGACUGUUACUAACGAAUUACCAAUGGAAUGGAAUAUUUUGUUGGCGAAAUAGGCGGGAAAAGUGCCCGCCAAAACUUACCAACGGAAAUGCUAAAGGAUUUUCUAUCGGAACGUGACCAACAAAAUAGUAAUGGAAUAGCAACCGAUUAGUAACGAAUUACCAAGUACCAACGACCUAGUAAUGGUUACAACAAAUUUUAAAAACGCGCGUUUGCAAAUAAUUUUUUCCUAAAUUGGAGAAAGUAAUCACUGUGGAUUACAAACCAACUGCUGUUUUUCUUUGAGCGUGCUGAAUUCAUACACAAGCAUGAAAGCACAACAGCUGCAGUGAGUGUAUGGCACUCACCAUGUGUUACCACAUCUGUACAUCUGCGAUUCCUUACUUAUUUGGCAAACAAAAACUGUCUCAAUGCACGGCAUCUCCAAUAGGGGGCUAACUAAAGUUGCUUAAAAUAACAAAUCUUUAAAAAUAUUACUAUUUUAUUUUCUCUCUCUUUGGGCAACUUUUACAUAAAAAUUUGCUCCAAUGGUUGGCACCCAAAGUUGCCACAUAUUUGUACAAGUAUAAUUAUAACAAGAUAUGAAACUAAAUGACUUUAGGGUGAUUUAUACACUUUUUUCUAUUUUAGGAGGGUACCAAAAGCUGGCAACUUUGCUUGGCACUCCUUCCACUCCAAUGGAGAGCCAACAAGAGUGCCAUGCCACAUCAUGACACAUGGCACUUUAGCACUCUUUUUGACACCCUCAUUGGAGUUGCUCAUAACCAACAAGGUCAGCCCACUUGUAGGGUUGCAGUCCUGGUCCAGGGAGCCUGGCAAAGAAUUAGAUUGCCUGGAAUUCGAUAUUUGUUGGAAGCCGUUCUAUCCAUUCACGAUGACUAUUUUUUCGCGCUUAAUAAAUGCAAAAAGUAUGUUACAACAUAUGUUGAUAUAUAACGCUAAAUUAUAUAAUGUAAUUUAGUCUUCAGAGAAUUUUCUCUCUCUCAUUACAUACAAAGUUCAAAAAAAAUUGGAGACAUAUAUUAGAGAUUUUCAUGAAGCCCAAAAAUGAGAUUGAGUGAGGAGGAACAUUAGAAUACAAUAUGACUGGGGUAAACCCUCCUCCUAACAUCUGAGGUUUUGGAGAACCGGUCACUUAACAUACAAAACGAAUAUAAAAGAAUGACAUGGGAGGUUUUCAGGUAUAAAUAAGAGAGGGUGGUUUCAUCAGAUAACAAGCAAGUCCAAAGGAAGAUGGAAAACCAAAGUACAGAGGAGAAAAAGGGUGGGAAAUGUGGAGGAGAUUAUAAACACUUGGUGCUAGGAAAGUUUACACAAGAAACAACUCAACAAGAGAUAGAUGAUCUCAUCAAGGGUUUUGCCAAUCUCGUCUCUCUCGUCCCUCCCAUGAUAUCAUUUCGCUGGUACAUUAUUACACACCAUCUCUUCUUAGUUCUUUCCCUUCAUUUUACUGUUUUUUAUGACCACCGCGAUUAUAUUAAGCACAAUGUGAAGUACAUUAUCUAUAAUUUCUCAGAGUUUAUUUUAUCUUGAAGCUGAAAUCUCUCGUAUUCGUUCUUGUAGUUACCAAAUGAUAAAAAAAAAAAAAAAAUCUAUAAAUUCUUGUAGUUCUACAGGAGGUUCUGCUGAAAGUUCUUGGAUACCUAUUAUUUAGCAAUGGCCUGGUUUUUAAGAAACAAUUCUAAUGUUUCUUUCGCUCCAAUAUGUAAAGGCGAGAUAAUUUAAUUAGUAUUUCUACAUUGUAGGGGCAAGGAUGUGAGCCAGGAGAAUUUGAACCAAGGUUAUACCCAUAUUUUCGAGUCGACCUUUGACAGCACAGAAGAUAUUGCAGAAUAUCUGGCUCAUCCUGCUCAUGUCGAAUAUGCAAAUAAAUUACUCCCUAAAUUGGAGAAAGUCCUCGUCGUCGAUUACAAACCCGUUGCUGUUCAUCCCUCAGCUGAAUGCAGGACAG